AGGGUGGUGAUGACUCCAACAUGCCAUCUGAGUUGCAAUGCUGAGAUCCAGAUGCUGCUUCUGAGCUG